CGUUUAGGGGUAAACCUGAGAAACCCGAAAGGUCGAAGGGAGAAAUUCAUUCGCGUUUCGCCGUCGGCGUGAGACGGUCGUGUGACGGGGGACGUUCGCGUCUUCCGCUCCUUCCGUUUUUCGAUCCGAUAGCGAACGCGUGCACUUUUCUCCUGGUAGGACGUCGCGAUCCGUUGGGUGUCGGUCUACGGCUCGCGGUGGAGCCCGGAUGUUCUUCGGAACGUUCGGACCCGCGUGUCCCGGCUGACUCGCUCGACGGUAUACGAAAGGUUUAAGGCCGCUUUUAAAGCGUUCGGCUCGUAGCAAGCGCGUCAGAUGUGUCGGCGAUCGGACCUGGUGCCGGUUCUGACCUCUGGCGACUGUUGGCCGCGAAGUUCUCGAACAGACCUUAGACCGAUCUGCGACGCUAUAGCUUUGGGUACUUUCAGGACCCGUCUUGAAACACGGACCAAGGAGUCUAGCAUGUGCGCGAGUCAUUGGGAAUCAUUAAACCUAAAGGCGCAAUGAAAGUAAAAGUCCGCCUCGCGCGGACUUAGGGAGGACGGGCGGUUUACCCUUAAAAGUGGCCGCCCCGCACUCCCGGGGCGUCUCGUUCUCAUCGCGAGAAGAGGCGCACCAAGAGCGUACACGCUGGGACCCGAAAGAUGGUGAACUAUGCCUGGUCAGGACGAAGUCAGGGGAAACCCUGAUGGAGGUCCGUAGCGAUUCUGACGUGCAAAUCGAUCGUCGGAACUGGGUAUAGGGGCGAAAGACUAAUCGAACCAUC
rnacentral:rRNA from 1 species